UACGUAGGGUGCGAGCGUUGUCCGGAUUUAUUGGGCGUAAAGAGCUCGUAGGCGGUUUGUCGCGUCGGCCGUGAAAUCUCCACGCUUAACGUGGAGCGUGCGGUCGAUACGGGCAGACUUGAGUUCGGUAGGGGAGACUGGAAUUCCUGGUGUAGCGGUGAAAUGCGCAGAUAUCAGGAGGAACACCGGUGGCGAAGGCGGGUCUCUGGGCCGUUACUGACGCUGGAGGAGCGAAAAGCGUGGGGAGCGAACAGG
rnacentral:rRNA from 1 species